rnacentral:rRNA from 1 species
UACGUAGGGGGCAAGCGUUGUCCGGAUUUAUUGGGCGUAAAGAGCGUGUAGGCGGCCAGAUAGGUCUGUUGUGAAAACUCGAGGCUCAACCUCGAGACGCCGAUGGAAACCAUCUGGCUAGAGUCCGGAAGAGGAGAGUGGAAUUCCCGGUGUAGCGGUGAAAUGCGCAGAUAUCGGGAAGAACACCCGUGGCGAAGGCGGCUCUCUGGGACGGUACUGACGCUGAGACGCGAAAGCGUGGGGAGCAAACAGG